rnacentral:rRNA from 1 species
AUUGAACGCUGGCGGCAGGCUUAACACAUGCAAGUCGAGCGAGCGGCGGACGUGUGAGUUAUGUCUGGGAAACUUCCUGAUGGAUGGGGAUAACUACUGGACACUGUAGCUAAUACCGCAUCCCAUCAGAUGUGCCCAGCUGGGAGUAGCUAGUAGGUGGGGUAAUGGCUCACCUAGGCGACGAUCCCUAGCUGGUCUGAGAGGAUGACCAGCCACACUGGAACUGAGACACGGUCCAGACUCCGACGGGAGGCAGCAGUGGGGAAUAUUGGACAAUGGGCGCAAGCCUGAUGCAGCCAUGCCGCGUGUGUGAAGAAGGCCUUCGGGUUGUAAAGCACUUUAAGCGAGGAGGCGUUACUAGCAGAAGAAGCACCGGCUAACUCCGUGCCAGCAGCCGCGGUAAUUC